GUUAGUUUAUUGGAAAGAUAAUUAAGUGUACAUAUGAAUAUAAUACUAAUAAUAAUAAUGUGUUAAUAUAGCAACUAUUUUAAUCAAGGGCCUAGGGGCAUUUUCCUUAUAUGCCAAAUAUUGCAUUUGGUCUUGAAAAGAAAAAAAAAAAAAAACUCAUUUUCCUUCAUCUUUUUCCCUUCCCCCGUCAAUAUCUCCUUCUCCCUCCCUUAACCUCCCAUUUCGGCAGCCACUCGACAUCUGAUUACAGCCAAAAUAGGUCCUUAGUGUUGUCGUCAUCGUGCCACCACCAAGCUCGCCUGAAAAGGCCAAGAAAUGGCAGAAUGAGGAGAAGGAAGCCGCCACUUGCUAUCGCCUCUGGUACAAUUACUUGCUGGUGUUUUCUAGCCAAACCAAUGCUAGAAGCAACUUCCUCGGACCUUAAACCUCAAUUGGGACUGUUAUAACCCCUAACGUCUCCUAUAAACUAGUGACCAGAGCUGGUGUAGCUUCGCCGCACUUGCUUGAUUUUUAGGAUUUUUGGUGAUUGUGUGGUGAAAAUAAUUGUAUAUUUGGACUCCUUGCAUCUCGAUCUACAAGUGGGUGCCUUCGGAUUCAAUUUCCGAGACUGUUAGAAAUUCCAACAAUUGGACCUUAGUGUUUUCAGGAUGUGCGUGACAGCGGAUAUUCGUCUCGGUGAUAGUUAGGACUUUCUGUUGCUUCAUUAUUUUGCCAGCCCGAUUUCUUCCAUCUUCGGGUUCAAUGUAAUUGCUUUCACUAUAUUUUUGCAUUUCACUUAUAGAGGCUCUGCAGUACUUAUUUUAGGACUUAAUUAUGUAUGUUUGACAUUUAUAUCUGAUAAAUAUUAUUAAGUAGGAUGAUGGUAUUUUAUUAAAUUAUUGAUUA